AAUGGCCACGCUUUAUCUUCUUUAGUGAUAGUCACAAAAAAUGUAGCAUCUUCAAGGGUAACGCACAAUCUGAGCAAAGUAGUAGACAUGUUAUUGUCAUCAUCGUCAAAUUCAAAUGCUUUUAAAUGAACAAUACCAACGUUUUGAGCCAAAAAUGGAGAAGUCCAAUGGUUAUUAGAUGAAGGAAGGGAAAGUAGUAAAGCAAUUUCUUGAGGGUUACUAAAGUACAUCAUCGGGAUGAGUUCAUUACUGGGUAAAUGAAGGACUUUAGAGCUUCCAAAUUCUCGUAAAGAAACUGUACAAUCCAAAUGGUUCUUGAAGACAAACCUCGGAGUAAACGUUACGGACUUGGUAAGGCAAAAUUUACCUGAUGACUCUGAUAUCGACAUUCCUAAUAAACACACAUCACUUUCAUUUGUCUUCCUGACUUCUACUUGGCUUGAGGACCCCAAUGUAUCGAAUCCAAUAUCCGCCGACCAGGAUGUCCCGUUGUCAAUUGAAAUCAUGGCUCGGUUCUUGCGACCACUCUCAUCAAACGAAUAAAAAUAUGGUUUAAUGUCAUUGGAAUAACUACCUGAGGGAAUAGUGUAUCGGAUCGAAUUUGGAGAACUUGAGGUAACUUGAAUAG